rnacentral:lncRNA from 1 species
CAGGUAAUCCCACAGCUCAUCAGGUGAGUUAAACACCCCUUGUGAGGUCACACAGCAGGCAAAAGGGAGAGUUGGGACUCAAACCCAGCUCAGCCUCACACCCCAGCCCGGGGCCUUUGCAAACAUCAUGGACACUUUAACCUUGUAGGACAUCCUAUCCCAAGCUGUGGAGCUUUGCAGGAUGAUCCUGGCUGGAAGCAGAAGCAGGUGGCUUCAUUGCGCCAGACAGCCCCACCGUAGCCUGGGCCCUGAGCUUCUGCCUACCAGGCUGUCAGCAACAUCUCAGCAACAGGCUCCAGCCAGUUGGCACAUACCUGGCUCAGCUCUACAGGCACAGGGCAGGCUGGAUCUCCUCCCAAAUUGCAUGCUCCAUGCCAAAGAGGUCAAGCCACCAAAUGACACUGACUUCCUGCCUUUAAGAGCUUUAUCUCUGCGGACCUGGAGCUGCUGGUCACCAUGGAAACAGAAGCUUUUGUUCACCACUUCCUCUUCUCUUUUUCUCGCUCCCCACCCCUCGUCUUUCCUUCCUCUCCUCACACCCACUUGCCCUCCUCUCUACUUUCUUUCCUCUAUUUUUAUUCCUAAUUUUCUAUCUCACUUGCCCUGAUUUCCUCAUCUAUUUAUUUAAAACUUAUUUAAAUUUUAUUACGUAGCUUCCUUAGCCAUCUUUAAUUCC